CUUGACGACCAUAGAGCGUUGGAACCACCUGAUCCCAUCCCGAACUCAGCAGUGAAACGAUGCAUCGCCGAUGGUAGUGUGGAGCUUCUCCAUGUGAGAGUAGGUCAUCGUCAAGC
rnacentral:rRNA from 1 species